ensembl:lncRNA
UUUAACGAUCCGCAGAGACUGGUUGUCUGGGCUGCUCCUAAAUACCCUCCUGAUAGGGGACCGGAGCCAGGUGUGUGUGAUUCGAAGCAGCUGCGUGCCAUCCAUGCCCAGUUGUCAUGGCAACCGGGCAAACAUAGGAUAACAUACGUGACAACUCCUAACUGGAACGCUAAGAGUCUAAGCAAAGCUAGCAGCUCAAUGAGACACGAGCUAUGCUAAUGUCAGCAUGCUGACCUUUGCUGAUGAGACAUUAACAGAAAAUUACAGAUCGUUUCUGCAGAAACACUCAACCCUGGAAGAGAAAUUCAGAGAUCUUCCUCUGAACUGCGCACCGAUUCACCCUCUGUACUUUCAGAUCCGCUGCAGCUCUUGAGGGAGGGGGCGGCUAUGGAGACGGCAAUGACGCCCCAGGCCCAGUGCUUGGUCCUGAUUGGUGAUGACAGAAGGUUGGCACCCGAGGAUAGGAGGCAGAGGGAAGGAGUGUGGUGGAGGAGCAGAAGCUCAAUAACAGAAGGGCCACAGUGGAAGCCGUGAAUCAGAUGCAGAAGACAGCGUUCUGCAAAAUGGUCACACUGUUUGACAUUGCUAAACACAAGAAACUACAAAGAAAUAGAAUGAGUCUGAUUUAUGUUUCCUGCUUGUUUUGGUUUGAAUCUUGAAUCUGUAGAUUACUGCCAUUUGAUGACAAUUGACUAUACACUAAGCCCUAUUAAGUAUGUUUAUUAUUUUCAACAAAAGGUUAAAUGUUCUCUUGCCUCCUAAAUAAUUAGCAAAUUUGAUAUUUGAGUGCAAGCCACACAAC